UACGGAGGAUGCAAGCGUUAUCCGGAUUUAUUGGGUUUAAAGGGUCCGUAGGCGGGUUAAUAAGUCAGCGGUGAAAUCCUACAGCUUAACUGUAGAACUGCCGUUGAUACUGUUAAUCUUGAAUAGUAUUGAAGUAGCUGGAAUGUGUAGUGUAGCGGUGAAAUGCAUAGACAUUACACAGAACACCGAUUGCGAAGGCAGGUUACCAGUCUGUAUCUGACGCUGAUGCACGAAAGUGUGGGGAGCGAACAGG
rnacentral:rRNA from 1 species